GCGGACGGGUGAGUAAUAUAUAGUUAACCUGCCCUCGAGAAAGGAAUAACAGUUGGAAACGACUGCUAAUGCCCUAUAUGCCUUUAAGACAUAAGUCUGCAAGGGAAAUGCUUUUGUGCUCGAGGAUGGGACUGUACGGUAUCAGAUAGUUGGUGGGGUAAUGGCCUACCAAGUCAAUGACGCCUAACUGGUUUGAGAGGAUGAUCAGUCACACUGGAACUGAGACACGGUCCAGACUCCUACGGGAGGCAGCAGUGGGGAAUAUUGCACAAUGGAGGAAACUCUGAUGCAGCAACGCCGCGUGGAGGAUGACACAUUUCGGUGCGUAAACUCCUUUUAUAUAGGAAGAUAAUGACGGUACUAUAUGAAUAAGCGCCGGCUAACUCCGUGCCAGCAGCCGCGGUAAUACGGAGGGCGCAAGCGUUACUCGGAAUCACUGGGCGUAAAGAGCGUGUAGGCGGAUAGAUAAGUCAGAAGUGAAAUCCUAUGGCUCAACCAUAGAACUGCUUUUGAAACUGUUUAUCUAGAGUGUGGGAGAGGUAGAUGGAAUUUCUGGUGUAGGGGUAAAAUCCGUAGAGAUCAGAAGGAAUACCGAUUGCGAAGGCGAUCUACUGGAACAUAACUGACGCUGAGACGCGAAAGCGUGGGGAGCAAACAGGAUUAGAUACCCUGGUAGUCCACGCCCUAAACGAUGUACACUAGUUGUUGUGAGGCUUGACCUUGCAGUAAUGCAGUUAACACAUUAAGUGUACCGCC
rnacentral:rRNA from 1 species